GUCAGGAUGGCUGAGUGGUCGAAGGUGCCAGACUCAAGUUCUUGUCUCCAAAUGGAGGCGUAGGUUCAAAUCCCACUCCUGACA